rnacentral:rRNA from 1 species
GAUGAACGCUGGCGGCGUGCCUAAUACAUGCAAGUCGAGCGAACAGAUGAGGAGCUUGCUCCUCUGACGUUAGCGGCGGACGGGUGAGUAACACGUGGAUAACCUACCUAUAAGACUGGGAUAACUUCGGGAAACCGGAGCUAAUACCGGAUAAUAUAUUGAACCGCAUGGUUCAAUAGUGAAAGACGGUUUUGCUGUCACUUAUAGAUGGAUCCGCGCCGCAUUAGCUAGUUGGUAAGGUAACGGCUUACCAAGGCAACGAUGCGUAGCCGACCUGAGAGAGGGGUAGCUGGCACGAGAGCUGGACCACGGUCCAGACGCCUCAGAGAGGCACCAGACGGGUACGGUCCGCAACAGUGGAGAACCUGACGCAACAGGCGAGAGCGAGAGACAACGGCGCCGGGAUCGUGAAAAUCGCUUACGGGGGAUAAACCGCUGUGUACGGAGAUAAGCACAACUUGACGGUACCUGCUCAGGAAGCCCCGGCUAACUACGUG